UACGGAGGGGGCUAGCGUUGUUCGGAAUUACUGGGCGUAAAGCGCGCGUAGGCGGACCUGCAAGUCGGGGGUGAAAGCCCGAGGCUCAACCUCGGAACUGCCUUCGAUACUGCGGGUCUCGAGUCCGGGAGAGGUGAGUGGAAUUCCUAGUGUAGAGGUGAAAUUCGUAGAGAUCCGGAGGAACACCAGUGGCGAAAGCGGCCACCUGGACUGUACCUGACGCUGAAACGCGAAAGCUAGGGGAGCGAACAGG
rnacentral:rRNA from 1 species